AAGUCGAACGCGUGUAGCAAUACACGAGUGGCGCACGGGUGAGUAACACGUGGAUAUCUGCCUUUUGGUUCGGGAUAACCCUGGGAAACUAGGGCUAAUACCGAAUGGUUCCUACGGGAUAAAGAUUUAUCGCCAAAAGAUGAGUCCGCGUCCGAUUAGCUAGUUGGUGAGGUAAUGGCUCACCAAGGCGACGAUCGGUAGCUGGUCUGAGAGGACGAUCAGCCACACUGGGACUGAGACACGGCCCAGACUCCUACGGGAGGCAGCAGUGGGGAAUAUUGGACAAUGGGGGCAACCCUGAUCCAGCCAUGCCGCGUGAGUGAUGAAGGCCUUCGGGUUGUAAAGCUCUUUUGGCGGGGACGAUGAUGACGGUACCCGCAGAAUAAGCCCCGGCUAACUUCGUGCCAGCAGCCGCGGUAAGACGAAGGGGGCUAUCGUUGUUCGGAAUUACUGGGCGUAAAGCGCGUGUANGCGGUUGUUCAAGUCAGGUGUGAAAGCCUUGAGCUCAACUCAAGAAA
rnacentral:rRNA from 1 species